rnacentral:rRNA from 1 species
AUUGAACGCUGGCGGCAUGCCUUACACAUGCAAGUCGAACGGCAGCGGACCUUCGGGUGCCGGCGAGUGGCGAACGGGUGAGUAAUGUAUCGGAACGUACCUUUCAGUGGGGGAUAACGUAGCGAAAGUUACGCUAAUACCGCAUAUUCUGUGAGCAAGAAAGCAGGGGAUCGCAAGACCUUGCGCUGAUUGAGCGGCCGAUAUCAGAUUAGCUAGUUGGUGAGGUAAAGGCUCACCAAGGCGACGAUCUGUAGCGGGUCUGAGAGGAUGAUCCGCCACACUGGAACUGAGACACGGUCCAGACUCCUACGGGAGGCAGCAGUGGGGAAUUUUGGACAAUGGGGGCAACCCUGAUCCAGCCAUGCCGCGUGAGUGAAGAAGGCCUUCGGGUUGUAAAGCUCUUUCGUCCGGGAAGAAAUCGCAUCGGCUAAUACCUGGUGUGGAUGACGGUACCGGAAUAAGAAGCACCGGCUAACUACGUGCCAGCCGCCGCCGUAACAC